GAUGAACGCUGGCGGCGUGCCUAAUACAUGCAAGUCGAGCGAACAGACGAGGAGCUUGCUCCUCUGACGUUAGCGGCGGACGGGUGAGUAACACGUGGAUCACCUACCUAUAAUAGUGGGAUAACUUCGGGAAACGGGAGCUAAUACCGGAUAAUCUAUUGAACCGCAUGGUUCAAUAGUGAGAGACGGCUUUGCUGUCUCUUAUAGCUGGAUCUGCGCUGCAUGAGCUAGUUGGUAAGGUAACGGCUUAUCAAGGCAACGAUGCGUAGCCGAACUGAGAGAGUGAUCGCCCACACUGGAACUGAGACACGGUCCAGGCUACUGAGGGAGGCAGCAGUAGGGAAUCUUAGGCAGUGGGCGAAAGCCUGACGCAGCAACGCCGCGUGAGUGAUGAAGGUCUUCGGAUCGUAAAACUCUGUUAUUAGGGAAGAACAAAUGUGUAAGUAACUAUGCACGUCUUGACGGUACCUAAUCAGAAAGCCACGGCUAACUACGUG
rnacentral:rRNA from 1 species